rnacentral:rRNA from 1 species
UACAGAGGUCUCAAGCGUUGUUCGGAUUUAUUGGGCGUAAAGAGCUCGUAGGCGGCUUGUCGCGUCGGCUGUGAAAACCCGCGGCUCAACUGUGGGCGGGCAGCUGAUACGGGCAGGCUGGAGUUCGGUAGGGGAGACUGGAAUUCCUGGUGUAGCGGUGAAAUGCGCAGAUAUCAGGAGGAACACCGGUGGCGAAGGCGGUUCUCUGGGAAUAUCCUGACGCUGAGGAGCGAAAGUGUGGGGAGCGAACAGG